rnacentral:rRNA from 1 species
UACGAACUGUGCAAACGUUAUUCGGAAUCACUGGGCUUACAGGGUGCGUAGGCGGCCUGACAAGUAGGGCGUGAAAGCCCCCCGGCUCAACCGGGGAAUGGCGCCCUAAACUGUCGGGCUGGAGUGAGAUAGGGGUGUGCGGAACUUCCGGUGGAGCGGUGAAAUGUGUUGAUAUCGGAAGGAACGCCGGUGGCGAAAGCGGCACACUGGAUCUCAACUGACGCUGAGGCACGAAAGCCAGGGGAGCGAACGGG